rnacentral:misc_RNA from 1 species
CCGAGUUAUCAACUCCCAAACCCCCCUGCGAACAUACCCGAACGUUGCCUCGGCGGGACCGCCCCGGCGCCCACCGCGGCCCGGAACCAGGCGCCCGCCGGAGGACCCAAACUCUUGCUUUCAGUGGUAUCCUCUGAGUCCCACAAACAAAAAUGAAUCA